GUCAAUCCAAGUGAUCAAGACAAAAUCCACUGCGCAAGCAGACAGGAGAAGGAACAUCCCCACACCUGGGAGCCUUCUCCUCUCUUUGUUUCCCCCCUCUGAGUCCCUGAGAGCUUGGGAGUCAUGGCAGCUCUCUCACUCUUCCUCUCCUCCAGUAUCCCCACCGGCACCCAGUCCCACAGCUACAGUUAGAGAGAGAAGCAUCUGAGGCCUUGACUGUGAUAGGGUUUGCCAAGCCUGUGUUAGCUUAGCUUCGACAUGGCCUCCCCCCACUCAUCAUCAUCUCUCUCUGUAAAUGGAAUUGGUGAAGAAGAAGAAGAAGAAGAAGAAGAAAAAGAAGUGGCCAUGGCGCAAGGAUCACAGGAUUCGAAGGUAUGAUGAUCACCUUAACUCUCAUCGACUGUUGGUAAUCGAAUGUCUUGGUGUUGCUUUCUUACUUCUGAACAAUAAUGACCUGAGAAUGUUCAAGCAUUUAUCUCACAGUUUUGGCUGAUAUUAAUUUGUUUGAA